rnacentral:rRNA from 1 species
UAAGCGACUAAGCGUACACGGUGGAUGCCCUGGCAGUCAGAGGCGAUGAAGGACGUGCUAAUCUGCGAUAAGCGUCGGUAAGGUGAUAUGAACCGUUAUAACCGGCGAUUUCCGAAUGGGGAAACCCAGUGUGUUUCGACACACUAUCAUUAACUGAAUCCAUAGGUUAAUGAGGCGAACCGGGGGAACUGAAACAUCUAAGUACCCCGAGGAAAAGAAAUCAACCGAGAUUCCCCCAGUAGCGGCGAGCGAACGGGGAGCAGCCCAGAGCCUGAAUCAGUGUGUGUGUUAGUGGAAGCGUCUGGAAAGGCGCGCGAUACAGGGUGACAGCCCCGUACACAAAAAUGCACAUGCUGUGAGCUCGAUGAGUAGGGCGGGACACGUGGUAUCCUGUCUGAAUAUGGGGGGACCAUCCUCCAAGGCUAAAUACUCCUGACUGACCGAUAGUGAACCAGUACCGUGAGGGAAAGGCGAAAAGAACCCCGGCGAGGGGAGUGAAAAAGAACCUGAAACCGUGUACGUACAAGCAGUGGGAGCACGCUUAGGCGUGUGACUGCGUACCUUUUGUAUAAUGGGUCAGCGACUUAUAUUCUGUAGCAAGGUUAACCGAAUAGGGGAGCCGAAGGGAAACCGAGUCUUAACUGGGCGUUAAGUUGCAGGGUAUAGACCCGAAACCCGGUGAUCUAGCCAUGGGCAGGUUGAAGGUUGGGUAACACUAACUGGAGGACCGAACCGACUAAUGUUGAAAAAUUAGCGGAUGACUUGUGGCUGGGGGUGAAAGGCCAAUCAAACCGGGAGAUAGCUGGUUCUCCCCGAAAGCUAUUUAGGUAGCGCCUCGUGAAUUCAUCUCCGGGGGUAGAGCACUGUUUCGGCAAGGGGGUCAUCCCGACUUACCAACCCGAUGCAAACUGCGAAUACCGGAGAAUGUUAUCACGGGAGACACACGGCGGGUGCUAACGUCCGUCGUGAAGAGGGAAACAACCCAGACCGCCAGCUAAGGUCCCAAAGUCAUGGUUAAGUGGGAAACGAUGUGGGAAGGCCCAGACAGCCAGGAUGUUGGCUUAGAAGCAGCCAUCAUUUAAAGAAAGCGUAAUAGCUCACUGGUCGAGUCGGCCUGCGCGGAAGAUGUAACGGGGCUAAACCAUGCACCGAAGCUGCGGCAGCGACACUAUGUGUUGUUGGGUAGGGGAGCGUUCUGUAAGCCUGUGAAGGUGUGCUGUGAGGCAUGCUGGAGGUAUCAGAAGUGCGAAUGCUGACAUAAGUAACGAUAAAGCGGGUGAAAAGCCCGCUCGCCGGAAGACCAAGGGUUCCUGUCCAACGUUAAUCGGGGCAGGGUGAGUCGACCCCUAAGGCGAGGCCGAAAGGCGUAGUCGAUGGGAAACAGGUUAAUAUUCCUGUACUUGGUGUUACUGCGAAGGGGGGACGGAGAAGGCUAUGUUGGCCGGGCGACGGUUGUCCCGGUUUAAGCGUGUAGGCUGGUUUUCCAGGCAAAUCCGGAAAAUCAAGGCUGAGGCGUGAUGACGAGGCACUACGGUGCUGAAGCAACAAAUGCCCUGCUUCCAGGAAAAGCCUCUAAGCAUCAGGUAACAUCAAAUCGUACCCCAAACCGACACAGGUGGUCAGGUAGAGAAUACCAAGGCGCUUGAGAGAACUCGGGUGAAGGAACUAGGCAAAAUGGUGCCGUAACUUCGGGAGAAGGCACGCUGAUAUGUAGGUGAAGUCCCUCGCGGAUGGAGCUGAAAUCAGUCGAAGAUACCAGCUGGCUGCAACUGUUUAUUAAAAACACAGCACUGUGCAAACACGAAAGUGGACGUAUACGGUGUGACGCCUGCCCGGUGCCGGAAGGUUAAUUGAUGGGGUUAGCCGCAAGGCGAAGCUCUUGAUCGAAGCCCCGGUAAACGGCGGCCGUAACUAUAACGGUCCUAAGGUAGCGAAAUUCCUUGUCGGGUAAGUUCCGACCUGCACGAAUGGCGUAAUGAUGGCCAGGCUGUCUCCACCCGAGACUCAGUGAAAUUGAACUCGCUGUGAAGAUGCAGUGUACCCGCGGCAAGACGGAAAGACCCCGUGAACCUUUACUAUAGCUUGACACUGAACAUUGAGCCUUGAUGUGUAGGAUAGGUGGGAGGCUUUGAAGUGUGGACGCCAGUCUGCAUGGAGCCGACCUUGAAAUACCACCCUUUAAUGUUUGAUGUUCUAACGUUGACCCGUAAUCCGGGUUGCGGACAGUGUCUGGUGGGUAGUUUGACUGGGGCGGUCUCCUCCUAAAGAGUAACGGAGGAGCACGAAGGUUGGCUAAUCCUGGUCGGACAUCAGGAGGUUAGUGCAAUGGCAUAAGCCAGCUUGACUGCGAGCGUGACGGCGCGAGCAGGUGCGAAAGCAGGUCAUAGUGAUCCGGUGGUUCUGAAUGGAAGGGCCAUCGCUCAACGGAUAAAAGGUACUCCGGGGAUAACAGGCUGAUACCGCCCAAGAGUUCAUAUCGACGGCGGUGUUUGGCACCUCGAUGUCGGCUCAUCACAUCCUGGGGCUGAAGUAGGUCCCAAGGGUAUGGCUGUUCGCCAUUUAAAGUGGUACGCGAGCUGGGUUUAGAACGUCGUGAGACAGUUCGGUCCCUAUCUGCCGUGGGCGCUGGAGAACUGAGGGGGGCUGCUCCUAGUACGAGAGGACCGGAGUGGACGCAUCACUGGUGUUCGGGUUGUCAUGCCAAUGGCACUGCCCGGUAGCUAAAUGCGGAAGAGAUAAGUGCUGAAAGCAUCUAAGCACGAAACUUGCCCCGAGAUGAGUUCUCCCUGACCCUUUAAGGGUCCUGAAGGAACGUUGAAGACGACGACGUUGAUAGGCCGGGUGUGUAAGCGCAGCGAUGCGUUGAGCUAACCGGUACUAAUGAACCGUGAGGCUUAACCU